UACGAAGGGGGCUAGCGUUGCUCGGAAUCACUGGGCGUAAAGGGCGCGUAGGCGGCGUUUUAAGUCGGGGGUGAAAGCCUGUGGCUCAACCACAGAAUGGCCUUCGAUACUGGGACGCUUGAGUAUGGUAGAGGUUGGUGGAACUGCGAGUGUAGAGGUGAAAUUCGUAGAUAUUCGCAAGAACACCGGUGGCGAAGGCGGCCAACUGGACCAUUACUGACGCUGAGGCGCGAAAGCGUGGGGAGCAAACAGGAUUAGAUACCCUGGUAGUCCACGCCGUAAACGAUGAUAACUAGCUGUCAGGGUUCUUAGAACUUUGGUGGCGCAGCUAACGCAUUAAGUUAUCCGCCUGGG
rnacentral:rRNA from 1 species